rnacentral:rRNA from 1 species
CGCGAAUGGCUCAUUAUAACAGCUAUAAUUUACUUGAUCUUGACACUAUCCUACUUGGAUAACUGUGGUAAUUCUAGAGCCAAUACAUGCAUUAAAGCUCUGACCUCACGGGAAGAGUGCACUUAUUAGAACAAAACCAAGCGGCUUCGGCUGUUUUCGGUUGACUCAUAGUAACUGAGCUGAUCGCACGGUCUUGCACCGGCGACGUGUCUUUCAAGUAUCUGCCGUAUCAACUUUCGAUGGUAGUGUAUCUGACUACCAUGGUGAUCACGCGGGGCGGAGAAUAAGGGGGGGGGGGGGAGAGUUCGCCUGAGAAAUCGCGAACACAUCUAAGGAAGGGAGCAGGCGCGAAAAUUACCCACUCUCAGCACGAGGAGGUAGUGACGAAAAAUAACGAGACCGUUCUCUUAUGAGGCCGGUCAUCGGAAUGGGUACAAUUUAAACCCUUUAACGAGUAUCUAUGAGAGGGCAAGUCUGGUGCCAGCAGCCGCGGUAAUUCCAGCU